GCCAGACUCCUACGGGAGGCAGCAGUGGGGGAUAUUGCACAAUGGGGGGAACCCUGAUGCAGCGACGCCGCGUGGGUGAAGGAGCGUUUCGGCGCGUAAAGCCCUAUCGGCAGGGAAGAAGGAGGACGGUACCUGACUAAGGAGCCCCGGCUAACUACGUGCCAGCAGCCGCGGUAAUACGUAGGGGGCAAGCGUUAUCCGGAUUUACUGGGUGUAAAGGGGGCGCAGACGGCAGCGCAAGCCAGGAGUGAAAGCCCGGGGCCCAACCCCGGGACUGCUCUUGGAACUGCGCGGCUGGAGUGCAGGAGGGGCAGGCGGAAUUCCUGGUGUAGCGGUGAAAUGCGUAGAUAUCAGGAGGAACACCGGUGGCGAAGGCGGCCUGCUGGACUGCGACUGACGUUGAGGCCCGAAAGCGUGGGGAGCAAACAGGAUUAGAUACCCCCGUAC
rnacentral:rRNA from 1 species